rnacentral:rRNA from 1 species
AUGCAGUCGACGGCAGCACGAGAGAGCUUGCUCUCUUGGUGGCGAGUGGCGGACGGGUGAGUAAUAUAUCGGAACGUGCCCAGUAGCGGGGGAUAACUACUCGAAAGAGUGGCUAAUACCGCAUACGCCCUACGGGGGAAAGGGGGGGAUCGCAAGACCUCUCACUAUUGGAGCGGCCGAUAUCGGAUUAGCUAGUUGGUAGGGUAAAGGCCUACCAAGGCGACGAUCCGUAGCUGGUUUGAGAGGACGACCAGCCACACUGGGACUGAGACACGGCCCAGACUCCUACGGGAGGCAGCAGUGGGGAAUUUUGGACAAUGGGGGAAACCCUGAUCCAGCCAUCCCGCGUGUGUGAUGAAGGCCUUCGGGUUGUAAAGCACUUUUGACAGGGAAGAAAUGGUAGAGGCUAAUAACCUCUGCAGAUGACGGUACCUGUAGAAUAAGCACCGGCUAACUACGUGCCAGCAGCCG